rnacentral:rRNA from 1 species
GCAGUAGCCACGGGAAUACAGAGGGUGCAAGCGUUAAUCGGAAUUACUGGGCGUAAAGCGCGCGCAGGCGGUUAUAUAAGACAGAUGUGAAAUCCCCGGGCUCAACCCGGGACCUGCAUUUGUGACUGUAUAGCUAGAGUACGGUAGAGGGGGAUGGAAUUCCGCGUGUAGCAGUGAAAUGCGUAGAUAUGCGGAGGAACACCGACGGCGAAGGCGGCGACCUGGUCCUCGACUGACGCUGAGGCGCGAAAGCGUGGGGAGCAAACAGGAUUAGAUACCCCUGUAGUCCCUGUCUCUUAUAC